GUGAUUGUUUAUAGUUAACUGUCUAUUUCCUUCAUUAGACUGCAGACUUCCUGAAACCAGUGAACAAGUUUAUUUUAUUUAUGGGCAUAUCCAUGAGGCCUACCACAGGGUUGGCACAGGGUAGGCAUUCAAAAGGUAUUUUUUAUUGAAUAAACAAUGAAUGUCCAAUGAAACAAAAGGCAAUUCUGCUUCUAAGUUGAAAGAUCUUUCAAGUAAAACCCCAAAUAAUUGAAUACAUUAUUUUUUCCAGACUAGCAAAAUGUGGCUGGGCCUCCAGGGAUUCCUUUCAACAAUUAGAAAUGUAAAUAUCGGUUGGCAGGGCACGGUGGCUCACACCUGUAAUCCCAGCACUUUGGAAGGCCAAGCUGGGGGGAAUCACAAGGUCAAGAGAUCGAGGCCAUCCUGGCCAACAUGGUGAAACC
rnacentral:lncRNA from 1 species